rnacentral:rRNA from 1 species
AUUGAACGCUGGCGGCAGGCCUAACACAUGCAAGUCGAGCGGAUGAAGGGAGCUUGCUCCUGGAUUCAGCGGCGGACGGGUGAGUAAUGCCUAGGAAUCUGCCUGGUAGUGGGGGAUAACGUCCGGAAACGGGCGCUAAUACCGCAUACGUCCUGAGGGAGAAAGUGGGGGAUCUUCGGACCUCACGCUAUCAGAUGAGCCUAGGUCGGAUUAGCUAGUUGGUGGGGUAAAGGCCUACCAAGGCGACGAUCCGUAACUGGUCUGAGAGGAUGAUCAGUCACACGGGACAUGAGAACCGGCCCAGGUCCCUAGGGGGGGCGGAGGGGGGGAAUUUUGGAAAUGGGGGGAAAGCCUGACCCACCCAGGCGGGUGUGGUGAAGAAGUGUUGCGGUUGGUAAAGCACUUUAAGUUGGGAGGAAGGGAAUUAAGUUAAAUCCUGGCUUUUUUGCCGUAACCAAAAAAAAAAGCACCGGCAAAUUUGGG